GGCCGCGUGGCCUAAUGGCUAAGGCGCUAGAUUUCGGUUCACCCAUUCAACCAAACUCUCUAGAGAUUCCAGGUUCGACUCCUGGCGUGGUCG